CAUAAUUUUCUUUUCUUUAAUCUCUUUCCCAUUCAAUUUGUUUUGGUCGAUUUUGAUGUUUGGUUGAUUUAUGUGCAUUUUUAAGAAUUCUUAAAUCUGUUGGGUUUGUGAUUGAACCCCCAAUUUGGGUUUUCUCAAGGGAGGGGAGAUUAUGGGGUUCAUGAAUCAUUUUGAUCUUAGUCUUGAUAUUACUUAGUAGUCCAUUUAGCUCUGUAAGGAUCUUACUAUUAGUUCGAAUAAGCUCAUUUAGGGUUGUUUAAUAAGAUGUUCUAGUUGUGAAUAGAAUGGAGAUUGAAGAAGGCAUGAGAGUACUUGGGAGGAAAUAGUUCAUAGCAUGAAAACAGAAUAAAAAACAUCUAAUGAUGUUUCAUUUAAAAUAGUAUCUUAAUAACUUGUUAAGAGUAUAUAAUGAUAGGACUGGAGGGAGUAGUAGACUAGAUGGUACACGAUACUGCCAUAUAUACUCAUUACAUAACUUCGCGACGCCAUUUUUUUAUUUACCGUCGAUAUGUUUUAGUUUUCCUUGUUCAUUUUAGAGAUUAUUGGCAAGUGAAUAGCUUUGUGGAUAGCAAAGAGAUACUUGUGCAAGAGUCUCGACUAUGAUUAGUUUUUAUUGAGCUGCAUUUUCUUUUGGAGACAAAUCACCAAGUAUAGUUUCAUGCUUUAAACUAGUGUUGGAGUUCCAGUGUAAGUAUGCCUGAUUUACCAGCUUAUCAUGAUGGCAAUGCAAAGCUUCACAGUUAUCAACAUUUGUGGAUGGCCCAUUGGAUGGGAAAGAGCUGUAAUUCAGUACUACAGAUAUAUAAUGAAGAUGGAGCUGGGACAGACAUCGGACAAGCAAAUGUCACAUCCAUGAACAUGGGACGUGAAAGUAAUUCGGGAUCUGAAUGGUAUCUCUUUCCAUUAUCCAGCUACAACCAAAACAUAGACAGUUUAUCGACUGUAAGAACCAACUCUCACACUAGUCAUGACACUAUUAGUCAUGGUACAGCCACUGUAGGUACAGACAUAACCGAUUUUCCUUCUAGUCUGCGUAUAUCAGCUUCUAAGAAAUUAGGGUUUUCAUCCGAAGAUGAUUUUUCUCUUUCUGAAAGUAUAAAGGCUGGUCCUGUGCAGCGCCAAAAGUCCUUUGGAUCCAUUGAAAUGGAGAGCUUGCCUUCUUCAAAGCCUUUUCUAAACAUUCUUCCAGGGACGACUUCAAGUGUCGUGCCAUAUAAACACAGAUCUGGUGAAACUCCAGCAGGAUCCUUCAUGUUCAAAAACAAAGUAAUCGAGGAGCCAUUCCGCCGGGUCGCAUCCAAAGAUAUACCCGCACACACUAAUUUAACUCCAUUUGAGAACGGAACUUGUAACUGUUGUGUUGAUGAACAAGGUAGGGAAGUGAACAGCUCUUCUGGUGCUGGAUUUUCACCUAGCUGCAACGAUCCUGAAGGAGCGACGGAGCUGGAAGAAGGCAUGAAUCCUGGGAGUUAUUUGUUACAGAAAAUGCCGGUUUGUUCUGUUCAUGAUGAGGAAACUUUGAAACUAUGUUCUAUUGGGGAUUCUGAGAAAAAUGUACCUGAGUUUUCUUGGAGGAUUUCUCAGACGACCCACCAUUUGUGUCUCACCAAUAGUUUUGGUGUUAGCUUCUCCAAGGGGGGCCAGAUUAUGGGAGAGUCCAAAUUAUCCACAGAGGGCAAUGCAAAGGCUUUGUAUGAAUUGUUUAGCUUGUCUUCUCUUGGUCGUGGUAAGCAAGGACCAAAACUUCAAUCUAUUGGGCAUACCUCCAGUAGUGAAAGGAAAGAAAGACACAAGUGAUGAGAACAAAGAUCACCCAUGUUUACAGAAGGAGUUAUCAGCAGAAACUGAUAUGCUGGACAUUGAUGAUUGUGUCACGAGAAGUUCUUUUCAUGGAUCUUUAUGUGCGCAAAAAUUCAAUUAUGGUUUGCGCAACUUUCGGUUCGUCUAAAGAAGUUGGAAGCAGAAAGACGGAAACGGGAAUAAUCAAUAUUUGUGAAGAUACUCCAGCCAUAAUGACCUCAAGGGGCUUAACAUGCAAGAGGAACGCCUCGAGAACUGACACUUUAGAAGUCGAAAAUCAUUUUUCUCGUGAUCAGCCGCCUAUGGAUGUAAACCCCAGAGGGGAGCUGUGUGAACCUGAAGCCCAACCAAAUCAUAGGUUGGUUAAACGUCUCAAGUUAAACACAUGGGAUUCUCUUGCUCAAGGAACUAGUUCAAAAACUGAACCUGCAUUAUCUGGAAGAAAAGUUGAUAACUUCUUCACCAAAAUUAUGAGAUACAACAUAACUAAUAAAGAUCUCGUCAAGAACCAAAAUGAAUCCGAUAGGAGUCUGGUGUUAUUUAAAAAUUUGGAUUUCUCUUCCAUGGAUUCAGUGAAGGAACACGAAGAACUAACCUUAUCACACCCUUGGAUUCAACGAUGGCGUCACAGUCAACCAGAAACUCCACCAAUGAAGCCAGCCGCCCGAGUGAUCUGUGAGCCACAAAUUUCAAAGCCAAAGUUGAAGAAGCAGCUUCCAAGCUUCGCAGCUAUGGCAUUGAUGGGAAAGGCUUCAAAUCGCUUCCGGCCAUGUGAGUUCAGGAAAAGAGGGUCUGUCACAGUCUGGAAUACGGGUUUCUAAAAACAAAUUUUCUUGAUGAAUUGCUAAGCGAUGCAUACUUACAGUUGAGUUCCUCAACAAUCUGCGCACAUAGAAUGAAUUAACGGAAGGAGACUACAGUGCUAUAUUACUGAUUGGAUUGGUAUGUAACAAGGAGAAUAAAGGAUGCUGUUGAAGUUCAGAGCCACAUGGAUGGCUACGUUUAUGAAGACUGGUCUAUUGCUCUGCCUUUGUAUGUAGUCUGCCUGCAAAAAAAAGUCCCAUGCUGUUUCUCCUGUUUCCUAUUUUCUUCCAUUUUGGUUUUAGGACAGAUUGGUAGGUCUGCAGGAUGAUAGAAGUGACUGUGCAUACAAUUAUGCUUCAGCUGUCAGUAUUCCACUGUAAUGCAUAAAAUCUCUGGUGUGCUUAAAGCGAUCUUAAACAUUGUCUUGUUGACCCAACUUUGUCAUUGACCUUAUGCUAACUCAAGGUUGACUA